rnacentral:lncRNA from 1 species
AUAAGACACAGCUUGGAUGUAUAAAUAUCUUGUUCGGUAUAUUUUUAUAAUUUAAUUAAAAGUUUGUAUAUAUAGUAGAUAAGGAGUGUAAUCAAAUGUUUACAAAUUGGAUAUUAUAUUCCGCAUUUAAGUCAUUUGUUCGGAUAAUAUAAAUUACCUUAUGGGUGCGUUUGGUUCGCGCUAUCUUUUAAAGAUUCCUAGUAAUCCAAUGGGAAUAAAAAAUUAUAACGGUGUUUGGCUAAACGCACUAAGUAAUCUAGUUGGUAAUAUUGGAUUCACUUGGGAAUAAGAUUCACUCCAAAGUACUAAUCUCAUUCCCUUGAGGGAGGGUGGGUAUCCUCAUAUUAAUAGAUUGGAGUAAUCAUAAUAUGUCUAAUCUCUUUCUUUCCACUACAACAAAAACGGUCUAUAGCGACACUUUUAAAUGUUGGUACAUGUCAAAAAAAUGCUGCAAGCUAAAAUUACCGACACUUUUAAAAAGUGUUGCUAUAUGUGGGGUCGCUAGGUAUAUAGUGACAGUUAAGAGUGUCGCUAUAACCUAAAAGAGUGCUGCUAAUUUACCAACACUUAUUUAAACAUUUAGCAACCGCCGAAACUCUAUCUCGUUGGCUGCGGUGGCAGAGGAGGACGACAGUAAAGGCUCUUCGUCUAGAAUUUCAGUGGAUUGAGUGAAGAGAUUAGAAAAGAUGGUAAUUGAUUUUUCUUUUUUUUUUU